UACGUAGGGGGCGAGCGUUGUCCGGAGUUACUGGGCGUAAAGGGCGCGCAGGCGGUCUGGUAAGUUUGGAGUGACAGUGUUCGGCUUAACUGAGCAAGGCCUUCGAAAACUAUCAGACUUGAGCACUCAAGAGGGACAUAGAAUUCCGGGUGGAGUGGUGAAAUGCGUAGAUAUCCGGAGGAAUACCAAAGGCGAAGGCAGUGUCCUGGGGAGUGUCUGACGCUCAGGCGCGAAAGUUAGGGGAGCGAACAGG
rnacentral:rRNA from 1 species